rnacentral:rRNA from 1 species
UACGUAGGCAGCAAGCGUUGUUCGGAAUUACUGGGCGUAAAGAGUAUGUAGGCGGUGCUCUAAGUUUGGUGUGAAAUCUCCCGGCUUAACCGGGAGGGUGCAUCGAAUACUGGGGUGCUUGAGGGUGGGAGAGGUAAGCGGAAUUCCUGGUGUAGCGGUGAAAUGCGUAGAUAUCAGGAGGAACACCUGUGGUGUAGACAGCUUGCUGGACCAUUUCUGACGCUGAGAUACGAAAGCGUGGGUAGCAAACAGG